ACAUUUCAGCAGGAUACUCUAGCCAUCAUUUCUUCAUUUGCAAAAAUCAAGCAUUUACUCUUAGAAAGCACUAUGACUAUUACCUAAUUUCCUAUAGCUCCAUCUAAAAAGACCACUAGAAAUAGAAGUGAUUCUCCCCAGAAAGUCACGAGAAGGGUAGCAAUACAAAAAUUCGGUGCCGAGAGUCUCAGUGACACAAUUGCCUUCCUGCAGCAUGAGUUGUUCGGGCUAAAAUCUCUGCACUGAUAUAAACAAGAACCCAACAUUCUUAAGCAAACAACUUCAGUUAAUAUGUAAUCCACAAAGAUAAACAGGAGGGGCUGAUGGGAGAGUGAUGGGUGACAUCCCAUUCUGGUUCUGUUGUGGGAAGGGGAGACUUUUAUUAUUCAUCUUGCCUGGACUGAGAUGGAAACCAGCGGCACAGUUUUUGGAAGGACAGCCUUUGCCCAUUUUCACUGGCAAGGCCCAUGCACAAAAGGGGCGAUUGACAAGGCAGGCGUGGGAAACGUAUUUCUGCAAAGAUGAGUUUCUGCCAAUCAGAGGCCGGAGCAGAUUCUCCCCACCUCAGUCCGGACUGAACUUCAACCCCGUUGAAUCACCAACUGGCAAGAGCCUGGAUGCAAACUAUAUCAGAAGGAAGAGGCUGCCAUGACUGGAACGUUCUCUUCGGAAAAAUAAAACUGCAGCUCUCACUGGCAACGAAAGCAAGGAAGACAGAAAAGGACUUAAGAUUCCUUGUUAAAAGAAUAUGCAUGCAAACUACAAAGAAUUGGGUUUAGUGAUGUAAUACUAAGAAAAGGAGAUUCCCUGAUCCUAACAGAGAGACAGAGAAGCAAUUAGACAGAAACCUGAUCAUGCCACCUCCCCGAAUCACCUUUAUUGUUCAGUUAGUUGGAAAGCAGCUGCUUGAUCAAGAACAAUUGAAUCUUUCACUGUCUUCCAUCUCUCAAAAAAGGGGGAGAAUAAUCGGAACUGCACCCUUUCU